rnacentral:lncRNA from 1 species
UCAUAUCCAAGUUACUUUGCUUGGCAUGCUUACUGCUAAGUAGUGUUUUUCUUUCUUUUAAAUUUUAUAUGCAUACCCGCAUGUACUUGUGUUGCUUUUUUUUUUUUUAUAGCGCAAAUGGGAUUUUGAAAUAUAGAAAGGAACAACUCCAAGGGUAGAUUUUUUUGUCAAAAUACUCCUUCAUUUUUAUUGCAAAGUCCAUGCUACCAUAAUGGUGCAUUUUACAAAAGUUUUUCUAAAAACAUAAGGUAAGAAUAUAGAAGGAGUUCAUAUCUAAAACGGAAAGAAAUGCAAUAACAAAAGGGUGACACACAGGGUUAACUUAGCAGUAGUAAGUCUUGCGCCACUUCCCGUUGAUGGGAUUCGUUAGUGUGCCUUCCUUGAUAAAGACCAAGCGAUAGUAGCCACCGCUGUAAAUUUCUUUGACUGCAAACGGGCCUUCCCAUUACGAGGGUAAACUUGGAGGGUCCUGACACUUGCCUUCUCAUGUGCUCAGCAACUUUUAGCACGAGAUCUCCUUGAUUAAAGGUUCUAGGCUUGACUGUCCUAUUAUAAACUUGGGCAAUAGUUUUGUGGUAAAGUGUCGUGCCGUCCUCCUUUCAGCUUCUGCUCUUUUUUCAUCUAAGGCUUUGAGGUCCAACAAGCGCCAGCUCGAGCAUGACCUCAUAUUCCAUUUAAGGUCGUUAACGGUUGAUACUCUAAUAGUGGCGAUGGUGAUCUCAACAGGUGAGAUGGCGUCGGACCUGUAUAUGAGUGAAUAAGAUGAAAAGCUUGACACUUCUUGGGGAAGUGCGGUAAGCCCAUAAGGCAUCUGGCAGAUGAACACUCCAACCCACUUCAUACUCAUACACCAUUUUGCUUAGAAUUCGCAGUAAAGUCUUGUUGGUG